AUUUAAUACAUUUUAGAAUAAGGCUGUAAAGUAACAAAAUGUGGAAAAAGUCAAGAGGUCUGCAUACUUUCAGGAUGCACUGUAUAUCCUUUCAUAGGUAGCAGCGUAAUUGGGAGAAAAUGUAAAUGGUCAAAAUUCAUUCUUAACUUAAGCCUGGUUCUCUGUUUUAUCCCAGUGUUUCAUAACCAAGAUGAUACCAAACCUGACUGGUCUAGCUACAUUAUGCCAACUCAUAUUCUCUCAGUACGAAUUUGAUAGGACACACUAAAUGGGCCAUUCCGCCAAAUCGGUGCCUUUUCCGUCCACAGUAUGUGUAUAAUACAUUAUAUUAUUAUUAUCAAGCAAAGUGUCCUGCACUUUGUCCUAAUUGCAAUUUGAAAACAAAUCAUGUGAAGCCUUGAUAAAAACUACCUAGAACACUGAAAAAGUUGGAUUUUAGCCCGUCCCCACUCUCUAACACUACACUUCACCAUGAAAAAUAAUGAAUAUAAUCCUUCAGAAAUCUWWUUUUWUUKUAUUAUUGUGUGACUAUUUCCAAUUUAGACAUAACAUUUUAAUUUUAAUCCGAAAAUCAUAAUAUGUUAGUUAAAACACACAUUUUAGUCGUGUCCCCAGGUUUUCACUCAGUCCUGUUAGCCUGACACAUUCCCCACUCUAAAAAUGUGGGACAUUCCACAAGUCACAUGAUCAACAGGAAGUAGCAUCAUUUGAGUGUCCURAAGGCCAUGGGAAGACCAAAAGGAGCCAAUCGAUUAGGUUGCUGCAGAAACGCUAUCGCGUUCGAAAAGCUAUCGCACUCGACGCCAUGCCGACCCAGAAAGGAGAGAGAGAUACUUAAAAGAAGGAACAGCAGAAAUACAGGGAGGACAAGGCAGGAAGAAAACAGUCAACAUUUAGUAAGAGGGGAAAAGCGCAGACGUCGCAAAAAGCGGAGGGAGACUUUACUACAGGAUCAAGUCCAGGAUAGAAGCCACGAAGCACCUCACUACGCCUCCAGAUAGCCCAGUUCCAGCUACGAUGAAGAUGCAUCAGGCAGUAAACCUAGUCCACGGAGAGCUGACCUACAGGGAUGUCAGCUGCUUGUGCACAGCAAGACAUCCUCUGAGCUGUGAGUGCUUUUUAAUGCAACGCAUUUCACAUUCAAAUUGACAGAAGGCUCCCACGACCACAGAAAAUCAGUAGCAAAGUCCUGAGGUUGUCGGCGAAUGGUGUGUGCUGAAGUACGAUGGUCAACUGUACCCUGGCAUCAUCCCAGAUACAAACAACACACACGUCAAGGUUCGUUGUAUGAAAAGGACUGGGGCCAACAGUUGUUGCUGGGCAGCACGCGAAGACAUCCUUUGGUACCCCUKUCAAGACUUCCUGUGUACCAUCCCACCAGCGAGGCGGUGGCUGUGUACCAGCGAGCGAUAGGUCGUCACAUGGAAAUUGACAACGACGUCUGGGCCAAACUAGAGACUGUUUCUUAGAAAAGGCAAGUUUUUGUUCAUUCAUUUAUUGCAAUUCUAUAUGAAAUACAAUUGUAUGUCGUGUUUGCAAGUGAAUGUUGUGUUUUAUAUGCAUAAAAUAGUACUUUCAAGUUAAUAUUAGAUACUGGUAGUCAAUGUAGAGAUCUGAGGAUCUGCUUAAUAUUCUCAGCUUUUUGUAUUUGUUGUCUUUCUUGCCUUUUGUAGAGGAAGAUGGAGAACCCAUGCUGUGCAGAGGCAGGAGCCAGACACACAUGCUGCAGGGGGAUACUCACACCUCUCUCUCGCUCUCUCUCUACCGCCCACCCCACCCCGCACACACACACACAAGCACGCGCUCACAUACACGCACACGCACUCAUGCAAAAGCACACACACACAAUUGUUACUGCUUUAUGUUGCUAUUUAGACUCAGAUCUUUUUGGCCAAAUAUAAUGACCUCUGUUUUAUCUUUGUUUAAUUGAAGGAAGUUCUGUGACAUCCAGUUAUUCUCACACACACAAGCACUCAUUCCUGGUACUCAGUGCUCAUUCCUGUUACUUCAUUUUUU